rnacentral:lncRNA from 1 species
AGAAGGGCAACUGGAGAGUCAGGGCUCCCUGGUGAGACUGGGAAAGCACUAAGAAAACGUCAAAACCUUCAAACAAGAUAGUGGGGUCCUGGCAGCUUAAGAGGGAGGGCAUCGAGCAGCUGUGGCCUGGCCUGGAGGACCAGCCACAGGGAAGACGGUAUUGGUUCCACAGCGUGAGCCCAAGUGGUCAGGCUUGCAUGGCAUGCAGGGUUACCCACAGAGCCAACUCACUAGUCCUGGGAAUUCUUUUAACCAAUGUCCUACCACAGGAUUUGCUUCCUGCUAAUCGUUUCUCCCCGCUGUUCCAGAGACUGAGAAGUGGCUAAGGAGUUACAGAGGCAUCAAACUAUCUCAAGAAACAAAGCAACAAUGGAAAAAGUCAUCCAUGGAAGCCCUGUGAGCAUCCAUGGAAGCCCUGUGAGAAAGAUACUGGAGAGAUGGCUCAGUGGUUAAGAGCAUGUGUUGCUCUUGCAGAGGAUCUGGAUUUUGUUCCUAGCAUCCACGUGGAGCAGCACACAGUUCAAGGGAUAUGCUGCUCUCUUCUGGCCUCUAAGGGUACCCAUGCAUGUGUACCUGUGUGCACACACACAUAUACAUAAUGCAACAAAUAUUUUUUAAUAAAAGAAUCUUUGUGGAG